rnacentral:snRNA from 1 species
UGAUUUACCUGGUAGGGGAGAUGAUCCAGAAGGUGGUUCACCCAGAGUGAGACUCAGCCAUUGCACCGCUGCGAAUUACCAAAACGUGGGAGUCUCACCUGCAUAAUUGUUGGUUGGAGGGAAUGUUUGUACUCUCC